rnacentral:tRNA from 2 species
CUCUCGAUAGCUCAGUUGGUAGAGCAUUAGACUGUAAAUCUAAUGGUCGGGUGUUCGACUCACCCUCGGGAGA